GCAUAUCAAUAAGCGGAGGAAAAGAAACCAACAGGGAUUGCCUUCAGUAACGGCGAAGUGAAGCGGCAACAGCUUCAAAUUUGAAAUCUGGCCCCCAGGGCCCGAGUUGUAAUUUGCAGAGGAUGCUUUGGGCGCGGCGCCUUCCGAGUUCCCUGGAACGGGACGCCACAGAGGGUGAGAGCCCCGUCUGGUUGGACGCCUAGCCUGUGUAAAGCUCCCUCGACGAGUCGAGUAGUUUGGGAAUGCUGCUCUAAAUGGGAGGUAUAUGUCUUCUAAAGCUAAAUACCGGCCAGAGACCGAUAGCGCACAAGUAGAGUGAUCGAAAGAUGAAAAGCACUUUGAAAAGAGAGUUAAAAAGUACGUGAAAUUGUUGAAAGGGAAGGGCUCGCGACCAGACUUGGGUCUGGGGAUCACCCGGCGUUCUUCGCCGGGGCACUCCCCCGGCACAGGCCAGCAUCGGUUCGGCCCGGGGGAUAAAGGCGGCGGGAACGUGGCUCUUCGGAGUGUUAUAGCCCGCCGCGCAAUACCCUGGGGCGGACCGAGGACCGCGCAUCUGCAUGGAUGCUGGCGUAAUGGUCGCCAGCCACCCGUCUUGAAACACGGACCAAGGAGUCGUCUUCGUAUGCGAGUGUUCGGGUGCCAAACCCCUACGCGUAAUGAAAGUGAACGCAGGUGAGAGCUUCGGCGCAUCAUCGACCGAUCCUGAUGUUCUCGGAUGGGAUUUGAGUAAGAGCAUACGGGGCCGGACCCGAAAGAAGGUGAACUAUGCCUGUAUAGGGUGAAGCCAGAGGAAACUCUGGUGGAGGCUCGCAGCGGUUUCUGACGUGCAAAUCGAUCGUCAAAUAAUGGGCAUGGGGGGCGAAAGACUAAUCGAACCUUCUAGUAGCUGGGUUUCCGCCGA
rnacentral:rRNA from 1 species